rnacentral:rRNA from 1 species
GACGAACGCUGGCGGCGUGCUUAACACAUGCAAGUCGAACGAAGUGGCGAACGGGUGAGUAACGCGUAAUCAACCUGCCCUUCAGUGGGGGCCAACAGUUGGAAACGACUGCUAAUACCGCAUACUGAAGGAGGGGAUGGAGUCUGAUUAGCUAGUUGGAGUGGUAACGGCCCACCAAGGCGAUGAUCAGUAGCCGGUCUGGUAGGAUGGACAGCCACAUUGGGACUGGGGAAAGGCCCAGACUCCUACGGGAGGCAACAGUGGGGAAACUUCCGCAAUGGACGGAAGGCUGACGGAGCAACGCCGCGUGAGGUGUGACGGCCUUCGGGUUGUAAAGCUCUGUUAAUCGGGACGCGGUACCGGAAUAGAAAGCCACGGCUAACUACGUGCCAGCAGCCGCGGUAAUUC